GAGAUAAUAGUUUAAUCGGAAAAAUGUAUUCCCUGCACGGAAUGGAUGCGGGUUCAAAUCCUGCUUAUCUCCCCA
rnacentral:tRNA from 2 species